AAAAGGCCCCUGCUGGGGAAAUUGCCCGUGCCAGAUGAAUGACCACCGGCUAACUCCUUGCCAGCGGCCGCGGUUAUUCCGAAGGUGCAGGCGUUGUCCCGAUUUAUUGGGUUUAAAAGGUGCGUAGGCGGCUGUUUAAGUCUCUGGUGAAAAACUCCGGCUCAACCUGAGCAGUGCCAUUGAUACUGGACAGCUUGGAUUUUGGAGGGGUACAUGGAAUUGAUGGUGUAGCGGUGAAAUGCAUAGAUACCAACACGAACACCUAUUCCGAAAGCGUUGUACUGGCCCAUAACUGACGCUGAUGCACAAAAGCAUGGGUAGCGAAAAGGAUUAGAUUCCCUGGUAGUCCAUGCCCUAAACGAUGAUUACUCGCUGUUGUGCCUUUAUGGUGUAGCGGCCAAGCGAAAGCGUUAAGUAAUCCACCUGGGGAGUACGCUCG
rnacentral:rRNA from 1 species